rnacentral:tRNA from 1 species
GGGGAUGUAGCUCAGUUGGUAGAGUGCUUGCCUUAUAUACUCAAGGCCCUGGGUUCAAUCCCCAGCACCCUCC